UUUCAGUCGUUGGGAAGUUUCUGUGGUCUGGUGAACAGUCUGUUGAGGAUAAUGUCCAGCACUUUUCUGGUGGUCAUUGAUAUCUACUAGGCAUGCUGUCCUGAGUUUCCUGUUGUUGUAAUCUAUAUCGAAUUGGUUAGUCAUUGAUCCGCCAUGUGGACUACGCAGAAACAUGUCUACCUUGCUGGGCUCACGUGAAAGGUUGAUGGGCAUCCAGAAUGUGGUAAAGACCCCACUUACCCAUGAUGGAGGUGCAUAACGACAAAAUAAUGACUCAUUUAGAUGUUAAUUCGUGGUCUCUACUAUCCACUACUGGUACCUUGGACAAAGACUUUUGCACUAAACAAACAACUACUUGUUAUCAGAAUGGAGCAAUAUACAUCACAAAUUGCUGACGUUUUACGUGGAGUAUUUGUCUUCCUUGACUUAGAGCUACCAACAAAUGAGGUAAUGCAGCAAAUAUUGAAUAAAACAGUACAAAACCAAGGGGACAAGCUGAUGAAAGAGAAAACUGGGCCAAUGUUGCUUGAAACAAGAAAGUUACUUGGUGAAUUUUAUGCUCCUUACAAUAGACAAUUAGCUAAGCUGUUAAAUGAUGAAGCAUAUUUGUGGAAUGACUGAAUGUUACUAGUAGGUACUUAUGAAACCACUUGUUUGUUUUUCAGUGUAGUGUCUAGUUGAUGAAUUAAUCACGGUUAUGAAAGCAAUGUUUAAGCAAUGCCAUUUUGCGAGUUAUGGGGUGUUAUAGCAAUAUCUAUUUAACAGUUACGUAGAUUUGA